GGUGAGGGAACCUGAAACUACCCUCCACAUCCUGCCUCUUGAGUGGCAGCGCGUUGCAAAGAAGUGACAUAUAAAACUGUCUCUCGAGUCGAGCUGUGCAAAAUGGAGCUGGCUUCCACAGCGCAGUCACAUUCUGAUCAGAGAGCCUGAAACGUGGAAAUUCUGAACACAGAACAAAGCAGAAGAGCCUGCCAUGGCAGCACAUGAUCCCAGGUACACAGUGAAGGGAUGGCCAGGCCUACCAGGAAGCAGCACCAGGCGCAUUCCCAGACUCAGGAAGAAGCUGCCCACUGAUAGCAGAGUUUUAGGUGGAGAAACUGGAGUAGUUAAAGUGGUAUUGAAAACAGUAGGACAAAUACAGAAGACCUGUCCAGAAGGACUAUACUGUAUACUGCUGCAGUCAUCAAGACAGUGUGGCGUUGGUGACAGA